UUAACUAUUUUAUAGUACUCAGAUGUUACAAAAUACAGAGUUGGGUCCUCUGGCAGGCACUCUCCAGCCGAGGCCGGUGCUCACCGUUAGGUUCGCGGCCCACCAAAGCAACAAUUGAAUGAUACACAAGGGUGGAGGUUUACGACUCCAGGGUGUUGCCACCCUGAGGCCGAGUCUCAUUCUAAUGAUCCUUCCGCAGGUUCACCUACGGAAA
rnacentral:misc_RNA from 1 species